GCCUUGGACCAGGUGGGAUAGGAGCAGGGGUUCUUGCUGGGAAGGCUGGGUACCCCACUGGGACAGGUGUUGGAGCACAGGCGGCAGCAGCAAAAGCGGCAGCUAAAUAUGGAGCCGGUGUCCUGCCUGGGGCUGGCGGCAUCCCAGGGGUGGGCGGCGUGGUGCCCGGUGUCGGUGUUGUUCCAGGAGCUGGAGUGGGAGGCCCGGCAGCGGCAGCAGCUGCAGCGAAGGCAGCAGCGAAAGCAGGAGCCUAUGGUGCAGGGGUGCUGCCCGGGGUCGGAGGUGUCCCAGGUCUUGUGCCUGGUGUCGGCGGUGUGCCUGGCUUGGUUCCUGGUGUCGGAGGUGUCCCUGGGGUGGCAGGAGUUGGGACACCAGCAGGAGCAGCAGCAGCAGCCAAGGCAGCUAAGUAUGGAGCUGGCGUUCCCGGUGUUGGCGUUCCCGGCGUUGGCGUUCCUGGCGUUGGCAUUGGAGGCGUGCCUGGUGUGCCUGGUGUGCCUGGUGUACCUGGUGUGCCUGGUGUACCUGGUGUGCCUGGUGUUCCUGGUGUGGCUGGUGUUCCUGGUGUGGUACCUGGCGUUGGAGGUGAGCAGAUGGGCUGGCAUGAGGGGACAACAUGGUGCCAGCUUCGCCAGUUCCCCUGACACCCUCUCUUCUGUUCCUGCAGUGGGUGGCCCAGCAGCUGCUGCUGCAGCAAAGGCUGCAGCAAAAGCAGCCGCAUUUGGAGCAGGGCGUGUGCCUGGGGUUGGAGUACCUGGGGUCGGUGUUCCCGGAGUUGGCGUACCCGGUCUGGUGCCUGGAGCUGGCCCAGCUGCUGCUGCUAAAGCAGCUGCCAAAGCUGCCAAGUACGCAGGAGCAGGUGGCUUGGCACCUGGCGUGGGAGGUCUGGCACCUGGCAUAGGAGGUCUGGCACCUGGUGUGGGAGGCCUUGCUCCUGGUGUAGGUGGCCUUGCUCCUGGUGUAGGUGGCCUGGCCCCUGGCGUUGGAGGUGUUCCAGGUGUUGGAGGUCCAGCAGCAGCCGCAAAAGCAGCAGCUAAGGCAGCCAAAUACGGUGCUGGUGUUGGAGGGGUGCCGGGUGCUGUGCCCGGUGCUCCUGGUGUGCCAGGAGUGACACCUGGCAUCGGUGGUGUGCCCGGCUUAGUGCCAGGCGUAGGGGUGCCCGGUGCCGGCGUUCUCCCCGGAGCAGGCAUCCCUCAGGUCGGGGUGCAGCCUGGUGCUAAGCCUCCCAAAUUCGGUGUGCCCGGGGCUGGGGUCCCAGGGGUCGGUGGCAUCCCAGGUGGCCUCGGAGUUGGUGGCCUUGGAGUUGGUGGCCUCGGUGCUGGGCUCUUGUAUCCAGGAGCUGCUGGAAAACCUCCUAAGCCAGGGGCUGGAGUUCCCGGUUUUGGUGUGUCACCGAUAUUUCCAGGUGGGGUUGGUGGCCAGCUGGGAUUUGGCGGGAAGCCCCCCAAGACCUACGGAGGAGCCCUGGGGGCCCUGGGCUUUAGAGGUGGAAUUGGCUGUGCACAAGGGAAAUACUGCGGGAGGAAGCGGAAGUAACCGCCCACCGUCACCGAUGACCUCAUGAACUUUGGUGCUACUGCAUGGUCCAGAAUGUAAAUCCCCACCAAGCUGAGACCCCCCUGGCCCCACGCUCCCGGCAGGGACCCCACGGCAGCGUCAGGGGCCGCCCCCCCACCUCGGGAACCCCC
ensembl:lncRNA